rnacentral:rRNA from 1 species
AGAGUUUGAUCCUGGCUCAGGAUGAACGCUAGCUACAGGCUUAACACAUGCAAGUCGAGGGGAAACGACAUCGAAAGCUUGCUUUUGAUGGGCGUCGACCGGCGCACGGGUGAGUAACGCGUAUCCAACCUGCCCACCACUUGGGGAUAACCUUGCGAAAGUAAGACUAAUACCCAAUGACGUCUCUAGAAGACAUCUGAAAGAGAUUAAAGAUUUAUCGGUGAUGGAUGGGGAUGCGUCUGAUUAGCUUGUUGGCGGGGUAACGGCCACCAAGGCGACGAUCAGUAGGGGUUCUGAGAGGAAGGUCCCCCACAUUGGAACUGAGACACGGUCCAAACUCUACCCGGGAGGCU